AGACGUACUGCGCAAACGUUAUUCGGAAUUACUGGGCUUAAAGAGUCCGUAGGCGGCGUGUUAGGUGGGGUGUGAAAUCCCUCGGCCCAACCGAGGAAUUGCGCUCCAAACCGGCACGCUAGAGGAAGGUAGAGGUGAGCGGAACUGAUGGUGGAGCGGUGAAAUGCGUUGAUAUCAUCAGGAACACCGGAGGCGAAGGCGGCUCACUGGGCCUUUUCUGACGCUGAGGGACGAAAGCUAGGGGAGCGAACGGGAUUAGAUACCCCGGUAGUCCUAGCUGUAAACGAUGAGCACUAGGUCGAGGAACUCCCACAGUUCCUUGGCCGUAGCGAAAGUUUUAAGUGCUCCGCCUGGGGAGUAUGGUCGCAAGGCCGAA
rnacentral:rRNA from 1 species